GCCUCGGUGGCGUAGUGGCAAAGACGCUCGCCUGGUAAACAGGAGGGCGUGGGUUCGAUCCCAGCCGAGGCA
rnacentral:tRNA from 1 species